rnacentral:tRNA from 2 species
GCCUUUGAAGCAUAAUUGGUGAUGCAUCGGUCUUGUAAACCGAAUAACAGGGUUCGAAUCCUUGCUUAGGCC